CUUAUAGGAUAUAAAUAUGUUUAUUAACAUAUUUCCUAAAAAAAUUGAUUUUAACACAUGCAGAAGUAACAAAAAUUUUUGCCAAAAGUCAGUGGUAAACUGUCCAUUGAAUAAUAUGAAAUUCUUGUUUCCAGUAGUAGUACAUGUAGUAGUUUUGGAACUAUCUAUAUAAUAGACCAAUCCCACUUGAUACUCCACCCAAAUCCACUUCCCCACUUCUCCAAGUUGGGAAAAAAAACAGUGAAGGAUUUAAAGAAGCUAAAUCUGAGCACUAUGUAAUCCUUAAUCAUCUCAAGAAUGUGACUGUAUGACUCGUCCAAUUCAAAAGAUGAAUACUCCACUUUGUGGUCCAAGAAAUCCUUCUCUCAUAACAACAGAGCCUAAAAUAAUCCUUUUGAGUAUAGCUUCAACAUGCGAAUGCAAAGCGGAAAUGUCCAACAGCAGCAAUAGGAGCAGUCAUCAUAGCUUCUGUGAUGCUAAGAUAGGCCAAUCUUUGAAUAUUUUCAAGAUCAGAUCUUCAAGUUU
rnacentral:lncRNA from 1 species